rnacentral:rRNA from 1 species
CACGUAGGGCGCAAGCGUUGUCCGGAUUUACUGGGCGUAAAGAGCGCGCAGGCGGUCGUACAAGUCGCGUGUGAAAGCCCCCCGGCUCAACUGGGGAGGGUCACGCGAUACUGUUCGACUCGAAGGCAGGACGAGGGAAGCAGAAUUCCCGGUGUAGUGGUGAAAUGCGUAGAUAUCGGGAGGAAUACCAGUGGCGAAGGCGGCUUCCUGGCCUGUUCUUGACGCUGAGGCGCGAAAGCUAGGGUAGCAAACGGG